GGGCCCGUAGCUCAGUUGGUUAGAGCACACGCUUGAUAAGCGUGGGGUCGGUAGUUCGAGUCUACCCGGGCCCACCAUUGGUUUUUGGAAUUUGCCUGAUCCCUGGCGGUUAUGCUGUCGGGUGUUUGCGAUGGUUGGGGCUGUAGCUCAGCUGGGAGAGCACCUGCUUUGCAAGCAGGGGGUCAGCGGUUCGAUCCCGCUCAGCUCCACCAAUCGCUAGCGCGAUUGGUGAGGUUAUGUCUUGACGCUGUCGCGAUCUUCGAUCGCUUCGCUGCGGACGGCGCGCGCCACGAGGCGCGACGGCCGACCGGCCUGUAUGGGUGGAUUGAUCGGUGAGUUGAAUAUCCUUUUGAAGAAAUAAAAGUUUGCAUCUUCUGCUAAGGAAGAUGCCUGUUCUGAAUACAUUGUGAAGAGAAGAUAUGUCUGGAAGCGUCCAGGUGUUUUGGGUUUAUGCCUGAAACGUCCGAGACCAAUCCUUGUGAAACCAUGUGAUGGCUUAGUCGGCCGGAAUUGGUGGAGGGGUUGGAGGUAGGAAGGAUCGCUUGUCCGAGGCAUUUUUGUUGUUGGAGCAUUUGCUCCUCUGAUGGGAAUGCUGGAUUGAUGUUGCCUGACCGCGCAUCACCGGAUGAUAUCUCGAGAAGCUGGUCUUAAUGAUACGACCUCGAAGUGCACCGGCGUGCCUUCAAAGAGGAUUGUAUCGAACACGUCGAUGUCAUCAGGAGAUGAUCUGGUUGUAAAAGGUAACCGGAUUUUGCUGGUUUGCGGCUACCGAGAGGUGACCGUAUGGCCGGAUUUGGAACCCCUUCGAGCGCAAGCGAGGAGGAUAGGAAUUCCAAAUCAAGCAAAUAUGGAUGAGCAUAGACAAUGAGAAC
rnacentral:tRNA from 1 species